rnacentral:rRNA from 1 species
GGCGAACGCUGGCGGCGUGCUUAACACAUGCAAGUCGAACGAUGAUGCCCAGCUUGCUGGGUGGAUUAGUGGCGAACGGGUGAGUAACACGUGAGUAACCAGCCCCUGACUCUGGGAUAAGCGGUGGAAACGACGUCUAAAACUGGAUAUGACUGCCGGCCGCAUGGUCUGGUGGUGGAAAGAUUUUUUGGUUGGGGAUGGACUCGCGGCCUAUCAGCUUGUUGGUGAGGUAAUGGCUCACCAAGGCGACGACGGGUAGCCGGCCUGAGAGGGUGACCGGCCACACUGGGCCUGAGACACGGCCCAGACUCCUACGGGAGGCAGCAGUGGGGAAUAUUGCACAAUGGGCGAAAGCCUGAUGCAGCAACGCCGCGUGAGGGAUGACGGCCUUCGGGUUGUAAACCUUUUUUAGUAGGGAAGAAGCGUAAGUGACGGUACCUGCAGAAAAAGCACCGGCUAACUACGUGCCAGCAGCCGCCGUAA